GACACGGUCCAAACUCCUACGGGAGGCAGCAGUGAGGAAUAUUGGUCAAUGGUCGGCAGACUGAACCAGCCAAGUCGCGUGAGGGAAGACGGCCCUACGGGUUGUAAACCUCUUUUGUCGGAGAGUAAAGUACGCUACGUGUAGCGUAUUGCAAGUAUCCGAAGAAAAAGCAUCGGCUAACUCCGUGCCAGCAGCCGCGGUAAUACGGAGGAUGCAAGCGUUAUCCGGAUUUAUUGGGUUUAAAGGGUGCGUAGGCGGCACGCCAAGUCAGCGGUGAAAUUUCCGGGCUCAACCCGGAGUGUGCCGUUGAAACUGGCGAGCUAGAGUACACAAGAGGCAGGCGGAAUGCGUGGUGUAGCGGUGAAAUGCAUAGAUAUCACGCAGAACCCCGAUUGCGAAGGCAGCCUGCCAAGCCAUUACUGACGCUGAUGCACGAAAGCGUGGGGAUCAAACAGGAUUAGAUACCCUGGUAGUCCACGCAGUAAACGAUGAAUACUAACUGUUUGCGAUACAAUGUAAGCGGUACAGCGAAAGCGUUAAGUAUUCCACCUGGGGAGUACGCCGGCAACGGUGAAACUCAAAGGAAUUGACGGGGGCCCGCACAAGCGGAGGAACAUGUGGUUUAAUUCGAUGAUACGCGAGGAACCUUACCCGGGCUUAAAUUGCAGACGAAUUACCUGGAAACAGGUAAGCCGCAAGGCGUCUGUGAAGGUGCUGCAUGGUUGUCGUCAGCUCGUGCCGUGAGGUGUCGGCUUAAGUGCCAUAACGAGCGCAACCCUUGUUGUCAGUUACUAACAGGUUACGCUGAGGACUCUGACAAGACUGCCAUCGUAAGAUGUGAGGAAGGUGGGGAUGACGUCAAAUCAGCACGGCCCUUACGUCCGGGGCUACACACGUGUUACAAUGGGAGGUACAGAAGGCCGCUACCCGGCGACGGGAUGCCAAUCCCCAAAACCUCUCUCAGUUCGGACUGGAGUCUGCAACCCGACUCCACGAAGCUGGAUUCGCUAGUAAUCGCGCAUCAGCCACGGCGCGGUGAAUACGUUCCCGGGCCUUGUACACACCGCCCGUCAAGCCAUGGGAGCCGGGGGUACCUGAAGUGCGUAACCGCGAGGAGCGCCCUAGGGUAAAACUGGUGACUGGGGCUAAGUCGUAACAAGGUAGCCGUACCGGAAGGUGCGGCUG
rnacentral:rRNA from 1 species